GGGGAAUUUUCCGCAAUGGGCGAAAGCCUGACGGAGCAAUACCGCGUGAGGGAGGAAUGCCUUUGGGUUGUAAACCUCUUUUCUCAGGGAAGAAGAUCUGACGGUACCUGAGGACUAAGUAUCGGCUAACUCCGUGCCAGCAGCCGCGGUAAUACGGAGGAUGCAAGCGUUAUCCGGAAUCAUUGGGCGUAAAGCGUCCGCAGGUGGUUUCCAAAGUCUGCUGUUAAAGACUGGAGCUCAACUCCGGAACGGCGGUGGAAACUUGGAAACUAGAGUUCGGUAGGGGUAGCAGGAAUUCCCAGUGUAGCGGUGAAAUGCGUAGAUAUUGGGAAGAACAUCGGUGGCGAAGGCGUGCUACUGGACCGUAACUGACACUCAGGGACGAAAGCUAGGGGAGCGAAAGGGAUUAGAUACCCCUGUAGUCCUAGCUGUAAACGAUGGAAACUAGGUGUGGCUUG
rnacentral:rRNA from 1 species